GAGCUGAAAAGACAAGAACAUCCCUGUCUCCACCGAGGAGUGGCAUAUCCAGUGCAUCCGUGAACGUGUGCUAUCAGCCGGCAGCCUUUCCUUUGUUUGCUGGGGGAAGGGCAGCCCUGUUAAAUUUUAUACUUUGCUGCAGAAACUGGGGCACUAAUGUGAUUGCUCACUCUGUGAUGCUGAGCUAUUUUGAAGCAUCCUUUCUGAUCGACUCGAGGCAAAAUGGUGAGGCAGUCAUUUGUCUCUGUCACUCCAGUCUUCCUUCCCUCUCUUGUGGCUUCCUUCCUCCGCCCCCCUCAUCCUUCUGUCAGUGAAUUUCUCCUGCUUCAAACCACAGAUAAGCUGAAAAUGGCUUAAAAGGUUGUCCCCUUUAGGUACACUGUGCCUGAGAAUUUAAUGAGAGGCUCUCUAAGGAUAGUGUUUCAGAUGUUCGCAGGCCAGUCAGAGAUGCAGUGGUGGCCUGGGCUGUUCCUCCACUACCCUUCAGCUGGUUUGCAGCUGAAAAGCCCUGUGCAUCGAAGUACGAGGAAGAUACAUUCUGGCGUUUUUCAAGGUGUGUUCCAUGGAAUAUUAGCUGGCGCCCCUGUGCUUGAAUACUUUUAAGGAACUGUAAAUAACCAAGUUAAACAGAUUGCCUUGCUCUCGGGAUUCUUAAAACUAACAUGCUCAUGGUAAAGGUGCUGCUUCAAACUUCUAAGGGGGUAUUUAGGAUGAACCAUUUCCCGUCUUUUUUUGGUUAUCUUCCCUUUUUAAUUUUUCAUGAAGCACCUUUAUCAUGUGUGACACAGGACAUACUCUGCAGAGCACCAAUCUAGGCCGACCCUCUGGGCCAGUGAGUAAAGUAAAGUCACAAAUAAUAAAGUGAUGUGCUCAGCGUUUCCUAUUGAAUUGAUUGCAGAGUCAGGACUAAGAAGUAGGUGCUCUGACUCCACAACACGGUCAAAAAUUCUAAGUGCGGGGGCGCCUGGGUGGCUCAGUCGGUUAAGCGUCCAACUUCGGCUCAGGUCAUGAUCCCACAGUUUGUGAGUUCGAGCCCCGCGUCGGGCUCUGUGCUGGCGGCUCGGAGCCUGGAGCCUGCUUCGGAUUCCGUGUCUCCCUCUCUCUCUGCCCCUCCCCUGCUCAUGCUCUCUCUC